rnacentral:rRNA from 1 species
GACGAAGGGGGCUAGCGUUGCUCGGAAUCACUGGGCGUAAAGGGUGCGUAGGCGGGUCUUUUAAGUCAGGGGUGAAAUCCUGGAGCUCAACUCCAGAACUGCCUUUGAUACUGAAGAUCUUGAGUUCGGGAGAGGUGAGUGGAACUGCGAGUGUAGAGGUGAAAUUCGUAGAUAUUCGCAAGAACACCAGUGGCGAAGGCGGCUCACUGGCCCGAUACUGACGCUGAGGAGCGAAAGCGUGGGGAGCGAACAGG